rnacentral:lncRNA from 1 species
UCAAGAGCAAGCAAUCAAGAAUCAGGUCAAACUAAUCUCCUGAUCAGUCAACCAAGCAAGCAAAGGAAUUUCUCAUUGAAUCAAGGCCUUGGGGUUUGUCCAACAAGUUCACAUGGCUUGGAGGUCUAUUUGAAGUAUUUUGGUCAAGGGUUGAGGGCUCAGAGGUCAGCAGUUCAUACACAGACAGUCAAAAACCCUAAAAAAGUCAACUGUCAGUCAAAGCAGUGGAUGGUGGUCAUUCUUGUGGAAUUUGGGCACCAUGAUCAAUAAUCAAGAGUUCAUACAACUUGGGACAUCAUUUGAAGUCAAN